UCUGCAUGUUGCAUCCUGGAUGGGGCUGGCAGAGAUCAGAUUUCUUUUAUUUUUUGCCCUAGAGAUGCUCUCGUUUGCCUAUUUAGGGGGGAAGUUAGCAGCUCCAGGAGCAGGCGGGGGCUCCUUCCCCCCCAGCCCACCCCACUCCAUCAGGACAGACCCCACGUCUGCAGCCACUGGAAAAUCACGCUCCAUUUCCGAAAGGGAAAGCAAAGUGUAAAUCUCUCUCUCACACACACUGCAGUGAGAAAAGUGGUGAAAGCUUUAAUUUCAGAGCUGGGAGAGGGAGAGAGAGAGAGAGAGACAAUAAUAUAUCAGCAGCACCCCAAUCGCCGGGGAGGGAAACAUCCAUUCUGGGCUUACAGAAAGAGCCGCCGUGAUUCCCCCCUCCCUGCCGAACACCCAGAAAGCAGCAGGAUUUCCUGCUGACCCCACAGCCCUUACCUCACUGCUCUCCAGCUGUGGUUGGGGGAAAUGGAGCCGCCUCCUGCUGACAGUGAUGGUUAUCUCACAAGUGUUGGCCCGGGAGCGUGGGGAUCGGGGGGAGAAAGAAGCAGCGGGAAUGGGAGGCAGUGAUUUCCCUCCCCCUCCGGCAGAGGUCUGCGUUCAGCACGGGCCGGCCGGCACACUCGGCUCUCCCCAGAGGUUCCCUUCAUAAGAGGGAGCAAAUUCCACGAUUUAUCAAGGGGAAAUUUGCAUUUGAAAUAUUCCCCGACUCCAAAUGUCACACGGCUUGAUCUCCCCCCUGAGCCUGAGCAAACGCAACUGAGCGGGGAGGGGAUCAGACCAGUGGGGAGAGAGGAAAAGCCCAGGGUUAAAAGCAUCCAUGGAUGCUCGAUCCAGGAUAUGAGUGAGCACGGCCACGGCCUUCCCCUCUUCCACCCUCUGUCGGGCAGGAUGCGGAGUAUCGGAGGCUCAGCCAUCAAGGAUUAAGGAUUUCGUGUUUGAGAUUUUAUUUACACAAUAAGACUUAAGUGAUUGCUGCAUGAAGUGUAGGUGGAUUCUCUCCGAUGCCUGCAGAGGGAUUAGUGCCUAUAAGGCAGCCAGAAUGAGCUGAAAAUUGGAGAGAUCAAAGUGCAGGAAGAGGAAUCCCACGUUCUCAGUGAUUCUGAAGGGAAGGGAGAGAGAUGACAGUGGUCAAGGAUGGGAAGAUUGCAACCGGCGGCUCAGGAGAGAUGCACACAGUGAUUCCCCCUUCCUUGUGAUGCUGCAGGCACCGGGCACAUCCUGGGGACAAGCAGCACCCGGGUAGUUCCCAUCCUGAGGCUGAAGAAGUUCCGUAGGCAGCUCUGAGCUCCUCAGACCCCCAUGACCACCUGAGCUCUUCCCCACAUGUGCCCCUACUUGGCAUAGGAGGGGCUCAGGGUGACAGCCCACAGUGACACUGCAAGAGGGACACGCACGUCCCCAUCCCCACAGCACCCAGCCUGCCGCCGGGCUGCACACAUCAGCCUUCUCCUCCUGACCUUAUUAAAGCUGCCGGGCUGCCAUGAGCUGAUUCGAUUAAACGGGGCACAGAGCACCAUCCCUGGCGGGCAGGAGGGAUGGAUGGGGAAGAAACAGAGUCCUUUCACUCCCCCCCCCCAGCCCCGUGCCUCAUUAGCUGCAACCACUUCAGCUCUGGCUACACAGUGCUCUGCUUUGCACAGGGGCAGCUGUGAGCCCCAGGGGUGCACAGCACUGCCCCAAGGGGGGCAUGUAGGCUGAGAGCCGUGGUGCAGGUGGGUGGGGGUCCGGCAGCGGCAGCCCACGGACGGCAGCAGGGCUGCACAGCUGCAGGCGGCUCCUUUCCUCCUCUGCAUCUGCAGUGACCGACUUUGUUCCAUCACUCGUGCUGUGCAGGGGUGUGCGCCCACCCACACAUCCCCCAGCCCUGCACUCGGCGUGGGACAGAAGUUUCAUCCCCAUCGCUUCCCGAGAUCCGCAGGCGGGCGGGUGUUCCUUCGCCGCAAAUGAACCCGCAACGCUUUGGAGAAGGGCUAAUUCCCUCCCUCCUUAAUGCAUGGAAGCUUCUUACGCUAAAUCUAUACAGGCACAAUUAGCAUUAUUCAUAUUCCAUAUGCUCCGCUCCCUGGUGAUGAAUAUUAAUCCGUUCCCCGCUCCCAGGCAUUGGAGAUAACGGCGCUGCACUGCGCCGCAGCGGCGGGGACAGAGGGAACAUUACUGCAGGUGGAGGGAGUUUCCUUCCCGUGUUGAGAAGGGGGGACUCUGCAGUUCUGAGGGGGGCUGCAGGACUCCUGCAGUGGGCUAAUGCAGAGCAGCCUCUCUGGAUGGCCCACGUCUGCGAUUUGAGGACUCACAACAGCUUUCAAAACCGAUGGUGCUGUGCCACAACGCCACACAACCCAGAGCAUCCCAUCUGCCCGCCCUUCAUCCUCGCUCAGGCCGGGGGUCCAAGUAUCACAGGAGUGGUGGAGGUGGAAGGGGGGAGGCCAAGAGGCACCGCGGUGCCAUCCAUCCAUCCGCAUGCUUAAUCCAUAUAGCAUCAGGGCCCCCAUCUGCUGCAUCACACAUCAUUAGCUGGCUGGUUUCUGAGGUGGCUCCCAGCAGAGGUGGGAAUUGUGCUGGGGGGAGAUUGGUCCCCCACUGGCACAGUCACAUUUUGGCUGCUCAGCUGAGGCUUAGGGGUGUGGGAUGGAGGGGACCCCGAGGUCCUUGUGGGUGCUGCACAGCCCCACAGCCUGCAGCCCAUGCGCAGAGCAGAGCUCAGCUCUGUGGCAUGGAUCCAUCCACCCCAACCACCCCCACUGCCCCAGCCUGGAGCACUGACACCGGGGCUCAGCCCCUUUAAAUCCCCGUGAUCGCAGAACGCACUGGGACGCCCUACCCAGAAAAAUAAGGGAAAGAAAUGAUUUUCUUCUUGCUGGAAAGCUUGGAGAGCUGCCCGCUCCUUGCCAGCCCUCCCACGCACUGCACAGUGGAGGACUGCAGGGCCAGCAUGAGCCAGGGGGGCUGGGGCGCAGUGGGGUGCCCCUCCGUGCUGGGGUCCCUUCCCUCUGCUCCCCGCUCCAUCUGUCCCAUUCCCGUCUGUUCCUCCUCUCUGCCAUCUCUGGGCUGAGACCUGCUCCCGAGGGAGCUCGCUGCUCCAAAGAGCAGCCAAAACUCACCCCAGAUCCAUGCUGGAAGCCCCAGGGAAGGAGUCACCCCGAUCAGCUGAGCCGAGGCAAUGUGGGGCUCUGAGUGAGCAGCUACGAAGGAAACUGCAAACAAACAGCUCUGACCCCUGGGGCCGUUCAGGUGCACAUCGAGACAGGGCACAGCAACCGGGUCCUGCAGGAUGAGAGGAGUGGGAGCUCUGUAACAGCAGUACCAACCCCCAGCCCAUGCUGGAU
ensembl:lncRNA